rnacentral:lncRNA from 1 species
UGUAGUUUUCGCCUGUCCAGGACGCCUUCACCCCUGCUUCCUUUGAGAAAAGUCCCUCUCCCACUCCAAGUGGUACUGACGGGGAUCACCCACACAAAAGAAACCUGGAGGCUCCCCUCCUGGGGCACCCGGCUUCUGCUCCAACCAGGUUUCAACAGAAAAUGAGAAAUAUCCCCCGACGAUUGGCUGAAAACAUGCAGCAACCACUAUUUUCUUCCUGCCCCUCGUUGAUGAGAGCAUUCGAAGUGACCUCAGCAGGGCAUCCAGAUCAAUUAUGCAGCUACAGCCAAAACCAAGUUCUUUUUAUUGCAAUGGUAAUGAAAGGAGCCCCGUGUAAGUCACUGGAAGGUCACAUGUUCACAGACUGUCAGCUGUGGAGGGUUAUGUAACAGUGGUUAUGCAAUGCCACGUUAGAACUACAGCC